UGGAGGGAAGAAUAAUGGAUUUAAAUGCAAUGGCCCAGCUUUCUGCUUUGGUUGUCGCGGUUUUUUCUUUUAUUUUCUUUUCUUUUGUGGUUAGAGUAGUCGUGGUUUUAAAUGCUAAAUGCAGGCCCUCUUAAAUCCCUACCCAAACAUUCCCAUCUCUCCUUAUAACCCUUCCUUCCCCUUUCUUCAAAAAAAUUCACUGGUUUUUCUUUCUUCUCUUGUCUCUCUUUAUGCCUCUCACACUCUAUGGAGUCACAUAUAAUCUCCCCAAGAGUGUAUGAACCCACCUUUCUGCUUUUCUUUUCUGUCUUGAAAUGAUGGCUUCUUCCUCAAAAUGUAAAAGAAAAAUGAAAGGCACAUAAGGGUUUUUGUGUUUAUGCAUUGGAAUAAAUGUGCAUGAAAUAGUGAUUGUGAUAUUGGCCUGGUUCACUCAGACAUGAAACCUAUCCCUUCUCCUGCUUAUUGCCUGAAUAGGGUGUUGUUGCUAUAUGUUUUGAUUGAGCCGUGCCAAUAUCUCAGUGCUGUUUCAUCUGAUUACUAGUGUUUAGAUUGGCACUAUCCAAACAUCUAAAGGAACAUACCCAAAGAAACGGCAAGAGAUCAUGAGGUAGCUAGAGCAAAUUCUCCAGAAGUUUGUUAUAUUAAUUUACAAAAGAAGGCAAUAAUACUCUAUAUUCUUAGUA